rnacentral:rRNA from 1 species
CGUCCAGACUCCUACGGGAGGCAGCAGUGAGGAAUAUUGGUCAAUGGCCGAGAGGCUGAACCAGCCAAGUCGCGUGAGGGAAGACGGCCCUACGGGUUGUAAACCUCUUUUGUCGGGGAGCAAAGCGAGUCACGUGUGACUCAUUGAGAGUACCCGAAGAAAAAGCAUCGGCUAACUCCGUGCCAGCAGCCGCGGUAAUACGGAGGAUGCGAGCGUUAUCCGGAUUUAUUGGGUUUAAAGGGUGCGUAGGCGGAGUGUCAAGUCAGCGGUAAAAUUUCGGGGCUCAACCCCGUCGUGCCGUUGAAACUGACGCCCUUGAGUGAGUGAGAAGUAAGCGGAAUGCGUGGUGUAGCGGUGAAAUGCAUAGAUAUCACGCAGAACGCCGAUUGCGAAGGCAGCGUACCGGCGCUCAACUGACGCUGAGGCACGAAAGUGCGGGUAUCGAACAGGAUUAGAUACCCCAGUAACC